ACUGGGCACGGUGGCACGUGCUUGUAGUCCCAGCUACUCGAGAGGCUGAGGUGGGAGGAUUGCUUGAGGAUUGCCCAGGAGUUCUGGGCUGCAGUGCGCUAUGCCAAUCUGGUGUCUGCACUAAGUUUGGCAUCAAUAUGGUGACCUCCCAGGAGCAGGGGACCACCAGAUUGCCUAAGGAGGGGUGAACUGGCCCAGGUCGGAAAUGGAGCAGGUCAAAACGCCAGUGCUGAUCAGUAGUGGGAUCGCACCUGUGAAUAGCCACUGCACUCCAGCCUGGGCAACAUAGUGAGACCCCAUCUCUU
ensembl:misc_RNA Metazoa_SRP Metazoan signal recognition particle RNA